rnacentral:rRNA from 1 species
UACAGAGGUCUCAAGCGUUGUUCGGAUUCAUUGGGCGUAAAGGGCGCGUAGGCUGCGGGGCAAGUCGGGUGUGAAAUCUCAGAGCUCAACUCUGAAACUGCACUCGAUACUGCUUUGCUUGAGGACUGGAGAGGAGAUUGGAAUUCACGGUGUAGCGGUGAAAUGCGUAGAUAUCGUAAGGAAGACCAGUGGCGAAGGCGGGUCUCUGGACAGUUCCUGACACUGAGGCACGAAGGCCAGGGGAGCAAACGGG